GACGAACGCUGGCGGCGUGCUUAACACAUGCAAGUCGAACGAGUGGCGAACGGGUGAGUAACACGUGGGUGAUCUGCCUUGCACUUCGGGAUAAGCUUGGGAAACUGGGUCUAAUACCGGAUAGUGCAAGAUGAGCUCGCGGCCUAUCAGCUUGUUGGUGGGGUAAUGGCUACCAAGGCGCGACGGGUAGCCGGCCUGAGAGGGUGUACGGCCACAUUGGGACUGAGAUACGGCCCAGACUCCUACGGGAGGCAGCAGUGGGGAAUCUUCCGCAAUGGACGAAAGUCUGACGGAGCAACGCCGCGUGAGUGAUGACGGCCUUCGGGUUGUAAAGCUCUGUUAAUCGGGACGCGGUACCGGAAUAGAAAGCCACGGCUAACUACGUGCCAGCAGCCGCGGUAAUAC
rnacentral:rRNA from 1 species